GAAACCUAUUGCACAACAUGGAAUUCGACAAAACACAGUAAUAUAUAUGGAUUUCUGUCCACAUAUUUGACAAGUCCAAAUCUGAUCACAACAAAUUUAAAAAGCUCUGAAACGCCCUGUUUCCUUGCCUGGAGUAUACGAAGGUGAGUUGCUUCACUAAUUGUAUAGCAUGAGUUGUACGUCUAUAGUUCCUUUCAGACUAUGUUUUCAUAUGCACAUCGUAAUUUCACCAAAUGGU
rnacentral:misc_RNA from 1 species